GGANCGUANNNGCAGUCGACGAUUCCUACGGGAGGCAGCAGUGGGGAAUAUUGGACAAUGGGGGCAACCCUGAUCCAGCCAUGCCGCGUGGGUGAAGAAGGCCUUAGGGUUGUAAAACUCUUUCAGCGGGGAAGAUGAUGACGGUACCCGCAGAAGAAGCCCCGGCUAACUCCGUGCCAGCAGCCGCGGUAAUACGGAGGGGGCAAGCGUUGUUCGGAAUUACUGGGCGUAAAGGGCGUGUAGGCGGUUUGUCUAGUCAGGCGUGAAAGCCCCGGGCUUAACCUGGGAACUGCGUUUGAUACUGACAGGCUAGAGGUUGGGAGAGGAGAGUGGAAUUCCCAGUGUAGAGGUGAAAUUCGUAGAUAUUCGGAGGAACACCAGUGGCGAAGGCGGCUUACUGGCUCGAUACUGACGCUGAGGUACGAAAGUGUGGGGAGCAAACAGGAUUAGAUACCCUGGUAGUCCACACCGUAAACGAUGAAUGCCAGUCGUCGGCAAGCAUGCUUGUCGGUGACACACCUAACGGAUUAAGCAUUCCGCCUGGGGAGUACGGUCGCAAGAUUAAAACUCAAAGGAAUUGACGG
rnacentral:rRNA from 1 species